GAGGCUCCUGCAAUGUGCUGAAGGAAGAACUUUGGACACGGGUGAUGGAGGAGCGCCUCUGGAGUUUGCUCUCCCUGUUGAGGAAGUGAAGACUGGGGUGGCCUUGUGUGACAGAAUUCAGGAUUUUGUGUGGAAGAUGUGGAGUAGGACUUACAGGAAGAGAACUGAGUCCUCUUAGAGGACCUAUGUGGAGUGGCUGCUGCUGAGAUUGCUCCUUGGUAAUACCAGAGGAAAGAGUCUUUGAGGAAGGGUGACUUCCUCUUGCUUGCAGAGGACUUGGUUAAAGAUCAUGUAAGUAAAGUUGAUGGCUGCAGGCCUCUGGCCCUAAUGGGGCGUGCCUGUGAGUACUGUGGCAGAAGCGAUUGCCAAGUGGCUCUCUGUCAUGUUCCCUGUGAUCUUAUAGGAAAGAUGCUGGAGGACUUGGAAGAUGGCCAGCGUCACUGCAGCUUUCAGAUGGGGUGAGAAGGAUGGCCUGUGCAAAGGUAGGCUGGUUAGCCUUGACUCCAUCCCCAAGAAGAUGAUGGAACAACUUCUAGAUACCAUCACCAAGUGACAGAAAGAGAAGAAACUUCUAAGGAGCACUCAAGGUGGAUUUGCUGAGGGGAAAUCAUGCCAGACUGACAAGGUAGCCUUAUGUGUUGUUACUGUCUGGUUUUUCUUGGACAAGGGAGAAGAUUGCUACUGUUAUUAAAUAUCUGUUGUGCAGGAGUCUAGCUGAUGGGGAUUGGCUCAUUUGGACAGCAUUCACGGAUCAGAACUCCUAUAUGAAUGGGAGGAAGAAUAAUUUCACUGUGUGAGUGGUGGGAUAGGCUGCUGAGUCCCCUGCUCUGGUUGAGGGAAUGGGACCUCUCUGAUCCCUAUGGUUCUGUGAUUCUGUUAUUUUUUGCAGGGUGAUGGCUGCAAGAGGUGCAUCCUACCCUGGUGGCCCCUCAGAGGAUGUUUGUGGAGGUCUUCUUACAGGUCUGGGGCUGGAGUGAGGUGAGCUGUGUCCUUGACCUGCAUGUGCUGCCUCUGGGUGCUUUUGUUUCAGGCCUGAAGGUGUGGCAGAUCUUCUGGAGGAGUGAGGGAUGUGCCACAAGUAAUGGUGGAGGGGCUUUGGUGGCUCUUUUCUGCAGAGUUUACUGUUUAGUGUUACAGGGGUGGUCUAGCAUUCCAGAGUUGCCUGCUGUCAUGUGGUCUUGGUGCCUUAGGAGGAUUGUGACCCUGGAGUGGUGGCUGAGGCAACAGCUUUGCUUCAAUAAGAACAUCUAUGCAUAGCUCUGUUUUUCCCAUUUCCAUGUGUGCUUCCCCAAAUACUGGUAACAACUAAGGUUGCUUCCAUAUGGUGGGAAGCAGGUGAUGAUGCAUCCGUCUUAGAAUUAUCAGCUUUUGUGUGGUGGUUCUUCUUUGUUUUCUGGAAAGGCCAUUUCUACCAAAGGCAAAAAUGCUCUGUAAGAAUUACUUUUCUUAAGACUCUGUACUGAAGUGGAAUGGCUAAAUGCAGCUCCCUUUAAGUUUUUGUAGAGACCUGUCUGUCUUCAACUUAACACAACAACAAAUUAUAACUUUCUUUGGAGAAAGAGAGACUGUCCUGGUUAUUUCUGCACUUAAGGCUUAUUUGCUUGCUACUGACCUUAGCUUAUUUCAGGGGGCAAGAAAGGGGAGAGAAAUUACCCCUCUUGCAAUCAACUUAGCAUUGUAUGUUCUCUUAAAAAAAAUAAAACUGGAAAUACUUAAAUCA
ensembl:lncRNA